rnacentral:rRNA from 1 species
GAUGAACGCUGGCGGCGUGCUUAACUCAUGCACGUCGAACCGGAAUUCUUUUAUUGAAACUUCGGUCGAUAUAAUUUACUUCUCGUGUCGGACGGGUGCGUAACGCGUGGGUAACCUGCCUUAUACAGCGGGAUAACAGUCAGUAAUGGCUGCUAAUACCGCAUAACCGCACAGAGCUGCAUGGCCCCGUGCGAAAAACUCCGGUGCUAUAAGCUGGACCCGCGUUGGAUUAGCUGGUUGGUGGGGUAACGGCCCACCUAGGCGACGAUCCAUAGCCGGCCUGGAAGGGUGAACGGCCACAUUGGGACUGCGGCACGGCCCAGACCCCUACGGGAGGCAGCAGUGGGGAAUAUUGGACAAGGGGAGAAACCCUGAUGCAGCGACGCCGCGUGAAGGAAGAAGUAUCUCGGUAUGUAAACUUCUAUCAGCAGGGAAGAUAGUGACGGUACCUGACUAAGAAGCCCCGGCUAACUACGUG